rnacentral:rRNA from 1 species
UACGUAGGGUGCAAGCGUUAAUCGGAAUUACUGGGCGUAAAGCGUGCGCAGGCGGCUUUGCAAGACAGAUGUGAAAUCCCCGGGCUUAACCUGGGAACUGCAUUUGUGACUGCAUGGCUGGAGUGCGGCAGAGGGGGAUGGAAUUCCGCGUGUAGCAGUGAAAUGCGUAGAUAUCGGAAGGAACAUCAGUGGCGAAAGCGACUUCCUGGACCAAUACUGACGCUCAUGUGCGAAAGCGUGGGGAGCAAACAGG